UUUCCUGAACAACAACAACAUAAAGAACUUCUCCUCUGACCAACUACCCCCUGUAUACUCGGGGAGGAGAUACCUUGAAAACCUAACUCUGGACUUCAACAAACUGGAGACUCUUCCAAGUGAUCUCUUCAAGGGCUACAGGCUAAAUGAUCUGUGGCUGGGAAAUAACAACUUAAAGAACUUAUCUGAAGAUUUCUUCGCUGAGCAAUAUUGGUUAAAAUAUUUGUGAGUAGCAAUUAUUUGGCACCUUUUUGAACAAACAUUAGAGAAGUAAUUCAGUUUUCUCUCUUUUGUUUCUGACGGGAUAGCAUAUGUCAGCAGCGUGAACAUGAUCUCAUUUGAAAAAGUUUAGUUUUCAAUCCAAAGUGUAAUCAUUCAAAAGCGUAACGUUUUCAGAUUUAAGUAGGUCGUAUGUGUGCUGGUGGUACCGAGUAGUUACAUGUUUGUGCGUGCGCAUUUCUGGGUGCUUGUGCGAGUGUGCUGAUUACAAUGGUUGUGCAACACAUUUAUAAGUAUCUAAACGUGACCAGCACUACAGAAAUGAAAAACAGUUCAGCCUGGAAAUCUCGAACAAGUUACACAGUCAGAUCAUUUGAAAGGGACAACACCGAUGUAUCCUUCGGGCUCAAGUAUCUUAUUAAGAGUCGAUGAAGACGACAAACAAAGAUGUUAAACACAAUGGUUCUAUCAAUAAAUUGUCCAUUGCAAAAAGGAAAUUUGGACA